GAGCAGAUCACUGCAGCAGUGAGAUGGAGAAACUGUGUGUUUGACCAGCGUGUGCAACAUUUUCAGAGGGGACAAGGGAGAGCAACAGGAAGUCCCACAAACUGCAACAAAACAGGAUCCCCCACCAUCAAACCCUCCCCCCUCUCUACCCCUCCUCCACGGACAAUUUCAUCACUUCUUUUUUUCCUUUUCUUUUUAUUCUUUUUAAUUUUGAUAUCUCUUCAGGAUUCUGUAUAACACUCAGCGGCCAUAUCAGGCCAUCAGGGAAUAUUGUACAACCACAAUAAAAAAAGAUGGAAAGGUUUAAGAAUAUAUAUAUGUUUAUAUCUGCUGUAAGGUUCGGCCUGCCAAGCCUUAAAGCUGACUCCACUGCAACCUCAAAGGUGCAACUUUGACCUCUGUGGCCUCGGGCUCUGCGAGGCUUUCUCCUACUCCAUAUCUUUCAGAAGCACACUGUUCAGUUUUUUGGAAGGUUGGGAUGCUCCUUGGAGUGCUGAUUUUUAGCCCAAGAGCUCCCUCUAGCUCUUUUUUUCCCCCUCCUCCUCCUCGCCAUAUCAAUGCCAACAGUUAGUCCCCUCUGUAUUUCAGAUAUGUAUUAAACACUUUCUUUGUUUUUGGUUUUUGUGUUUUUCUUUUUUUUUCUUUAAAAAAAAAAAAAAAGGAAAUCAGAUGGUUGCCACGUCUGCCCCUCCUGCUAUUAUAAGUUUCUAGAACGGACAGGAUGCCAUUUCACCACUAGUGCCAUGUUUUCGGCGCUUCUGUUUGCCUCAGUGUUUGGGUGCAAUGAGAUCGCAGGGUAGAGGUGGAGAUCAUCGCCUCUGAGCGUCUGUGAGUUAACCCGGGUGAACAAUUCUCCAUUGUUAGUUCCUAGCACUAGUGUGGUAUGCUAGCAACCAAACAAUUUAUAUGGUUUUGAUUUGGUUUUUGAUUUUUUUUUCCUUUUCUCGUUUUGUUUUUCUCUUAUAAAGACAUUUUCGAAAAUAAAUAUUUUGUAUUUUAAGGAUUUUGUCUUGUCUCUUGCAAAAAAGAAGAAAAAAAUGUCGAUUAUUUGGGCCAAUGGAGCUAGUUUGUUAACCACUAAGCUGCAUGAGGUGGUUAGUAGGCUGGUGUUUCAUGUUGCAAAAUUCUCUGACAUGCAUUUAAUGAUGGUAGAGUAUCCCAGAUGAUGUAUACGUUAGCAAAUGUCUUCUUUUUUUUUCUUUUUUUUAAAAGAAGAGGUGUUUACAUUAAAAAAAAUUAAAAUUACUCCAAAAAUGGAGAUGUUAACACCCUAAGAAUGAGACUACACCUUUGUGUGCUGCUCUGUCAGUAACAACUUUACAUCAAAGGGCAUUAAAUCCAUUUUUCUAAUGGCUUUGAUUUUCAUUUUGCUCUUUUUUUCACUUAAAGUAAUUUGUUUUAUCACAUUGAAUUAACCUUUCCUAUGAUUCUAAGCAAGAUUUAUUUCUUUUCAUCAAAAAACAAGAAGCACAAGUCGUUACUGUAGCUGUCAUGAUAAUUAAGAGUUCCAGAUCAAACACUACAUCAUUGUGAGAAACUGGAUCCCCUCGCAGCAUUUCUACAGAUUUUUUUAAAAACAGAUUUUCCACAUCUGAAAUAAAGAUUUUCAUUUGCCUUUGAAAUUUAAACAUCUUGUUCUCCAGCUUAUAUUUUCAUAAAUAAAUUUUUUUGCUGUCC
ensembl:lncRNA